GAUGAACGCUAGCGGCAGGCUUAAUACAUGCAAGUCGAGGGGCAGCGCGGGUAGCAAUACCUGGCGGCGACCGGCAAACGGGUGCGGAACACGUACGCAACCUUCCCAAAACUGGGGAAUAGCCCUCCGAAAGGAGGAUUAAUACCCCGUAACAUAACGAAGUGGCAUCACUUUGUUAUUAUAGUUCCGACGGUUUUGGAUGGGCGUGCGCCUGAUUAGGUAGUUGGCGGGUAACGGCCCACCAAGCCUGCGAUCAGUAACUGGUGUGAGAGCACGACCAGUCACACGGGCACUGAGACACGGGCCCGACUCCUACGGGAGGCAGCAGUAAGGAAUAUUGGUCAAUGGACGCAAGUCUGAACCAGCCAUGCCGCGUGAAGGAUUGAAGGUCCUCUGGAUUGUAAACUUCUUUUAUAUGGGACGAAAAAAGGGCAUUCUUGCUCACUUGACGGUACCAUAGGAAUAAGCACCGGCUAACUCCGUG
rnacentral:rRNA from 1 species